AGAACGAACGCUGGCGGCAUGCCUAACACAUGCAAGUCGAACGCUCUUGGGGCUUCGGUUUCGAGGGAGUGGCGCACGGGUGAGUAGCGCGUGGGAACCUGUCCUGUUGUGGGGGAUAACCGAGGGAAACUUCGGCUAAUACCGCAUGCGCCCCGGUGAAAGCCGGGGGAAAGAUUUAUCGCAGCAGGAGGGGCCCGCGUCGGAUUAGCUAGUUGGCGGGGUAACGGCCCACCAAGGCGAUGAUCCGUAGCUGGUCUGAGAGGAUGAUCAGCCACACUGGGGCUGAGACACGGCCCAGACUCCUACGGGAGGCAGCAGUGGGGAAUAUUGGACAAUGGGCGCAAGCCUGAUCCAGCAAUGCCGCGUGAGUGAUGAAGGCCUUCGGGUUGUAAGCUCUUUGGCGGGGACGAUGAUGACGGUACCCGCAGAAGAAGCCCCGGCUAACUUCGCGCCAGCAGCCGC
rnacentral:rRNA from 1 species